rnacentral:ncRNA from 1 species
GAAAAUGGGCUUUGAACCGCAGGUUCAGACAUUUCGUGUAUGUGCUUGGCUGAGGAGCCAAUGGGGCGAAGCUACCAUCUGUGGGAUUAUGUCUGAGCGCCUCUAAGUCAGAAUCCCGCC